rnacentral:rRNA from 1 species
CGGCCACAUUGGGACUGAGAUACGGCCCAGACUCCUACGGGAGGCAGCAGUGGGGAAUAUUGCACAAUGGGCGCAAGCCUGAUGCAGCGACGCCGCGUGAGGGAUGGAGGCCUUCGGGUUGUAAACCUCUUUUAUCGGGGAGCAAGCGAGAGUGAGUUUACCCGUUGAAUAAGCACCGGCUAACUACGUGCCAGCAGCCGCGGUAAUACGUAGGGUGCAAGCGUUAUCCGGAAUUAUUGGGCGUAAAGGGCUCGUAGGCGGUUCGUCGCGUCCGGUGUGAAAGUCCAUCGCUUAACGGUGGAUCCGCGCCGGGUACGGGCGGGCUUGAGUGCGGUAGGGGAGACUGGAAUUCCCGGUGUAACGGUGGAAUGUGUAGAUAUCGGGAAGAACACCAAUGGCGAAGGCAGGUCUCUGGGCCGUUACUGACGCUGAGGAGCGAAAGCGUGGGGAGCGAACAGGAUUAGAUACCCUGGUAGUCCACGCCGUAAACGGUGGAUGCUGGAUGUGGGGCCCGUUCCACGGGUUCCGUGUCGGAGCUAACGCGUUAAGCAUCCCGCCUGGGGAGUACGGCCGCAAGGCUAAAACUCAAAGAAAUUGACGGGGGCCCGCACAAGCGGCGGAGCAUGCGGAUUAAUUCGAUGCAACGCGAAGAACCUUACCUGGGCUUGACAUGUUCCCGACAGCCCCAGAGAUGGGGCCUCCCUUCGGGGCGGGUUCACAGGUGGUGCAUGGUCGUCGUCAGCUCGUGUCGUGAGAUGUUGGGUUAAGUCCCGCAACGAGCGCAACCCUCGCCCUGUGUUGCCAGCACGUCGUGGUGGGAACUCACGGGGGACCGCCGGGGUCAACUCGGAGGAAGGUGGGGAUGACGUCAGAUCAUCAUGCCCCUUACGUCCAGGGCUUCACGCAUGCUACAAUGGCCGGUACAACGGGAUGCGACGCGGCGACGCGGAGCGGAUCCCUGAAAACCGGUCUCAGUUCGGAUUGGAGUCUGCAACCCGACUCCAUGAAGGCGGAGUCGCUAGUAAUCGCGGAUCAGCAACGCCGCGGUGAAUGCGUUCCCGGGCCUUGUACACACCGCCCGUCAAGUCAUGAAAGUGGGCAGCACCCGAAGCCGGUGGCCUAACCCCUUGUGGGAUGGAGCCGUCUAAGGUGAGGCUCGUGAUUGGGACUAAGUCGUAACAAGGUAGCCGUACCGGAAGGUGCGGCUG